AUGCCUGUAGGUUUCUGUGAAAAUUAUGAGGAAGUGAUACGAGAGUUUUGGUGGGGCGAAGAGGAGGGCCAAAGGAAGGUGCAUUGGAUGGCAUGGGAUAAAAUGGCGAAGCCCAAGAGAGGAGGCGGUAUUGGAUUUAGAGAUAUGCAUAUGUUCAACCAAGCGCUGUUAGCAAGGCAAGGGUGGAGAUUGUUACAGAAACCAGGAAGCCUUUGUGCGAGAGUGCUCAAAUCAAAAUACUAUGUCACGCCCUCGAUGCGGCUAUAUCUCCCACGUGUCGAAGCACGACUUAGAGGCAUAACCACAUUGAAAGCAAUGUCACAAGUGAGAUAA
rnacentral:rRNA from 1 species